GGUCCGAUUGAGAAAACAAUUAGUUUGCCGGACUCCUGAGAUCAUGCGCUACACAAUAACAUUUUGUUUAAUUAAAAUCCUUGCAGUCAGAAUUUAUUUUUCAGUGAAUCUGUCAAAGCAGCCCUUUCCGUUUGCGUUUCCGUUUGUGUUUUCAUUUGGAUUUUCUGUUCAGAAAAUCUGACGUUCCCUAUUGUUCUUUUUUUGUGAAAAACG